CACCAGCGCAUAAUCUCCCGGGCUACCAAGCCCGCGGCGAAAUGUUGCGUAUAGGGAAAGGUCGAUUACAGCCUCGUGCACCCGUCUGAUGUGCCUAAUCGCGUCCUGAAAUGUUCGCGCAAGUUGGGUAUUUUAUCUUUCGGGGUAAACGCUCAACACACGGUUCCUAGGAGGGUGCAAGACCCGUCUGGCCGCGUGUGUGUGUGUGCGAAGGCUAGGCCUCAUUUCCCUGAGAGUCGCGUUGUUUGAACUUACAGCGCUAAGCAGGAGGUAAACUCCUCCUAAGGCUAAAUAUGUCCACAGAACCGAUAGCUAACAAGUACCGCGAGGGAAAGUUGAAAAGCACUCUGGAGAGAGGGUGACAAGACCGUUAGACCGUCCAGGGUAAAAGCCGAUGUCAAUAUCCUAGUAGCGCUGGGACCAGGCGUCAGCCUGAAGCAGUGCCCUCGCCUCGUGUUCCGAGUUAACCUGCUUUAUUGUGGGCUCUGAGCAUAAGCGUGUAAGAUGCUCUGCUUAACGUCCAUUAACAGCCCGCCGUGGCUCUUGCGAGGUCACUCGCAGUUGCGGAGCGUUUGUCAUUGUUCGUAAAGUGUGGAAACUGUCGGAGGCCGUGCAUUUCGGUAGACCUAGUAGCGCAAGCGAAGAGUUCCCGGAGUGUGCGUCGGUACACUAGUCCUUCAAAGUUGAAGCCAGAACGUAUGAUGAUCGUGCCCGUUGCUAUAGCGUUUAUGAUCCUCUGCGAGAAGCUAUACAGACUCACUUGUAGCUGCUCUCUUUCUCUAAGCUUCGUGCUGAUGAUGAUUGAGUUAGCGGUUGCUUGUAGUUUCGGCGGUACGCCUAGGUGACAUCGGUCACGUCUCGAAACACGGGCCAAGGAGCAUAGCGUAAAGCCAAGUCUUACGGUUUCUCGAAACCUCGUGGCGAUAGUGAAAGCGAUCGAACGAGCCUAGCUCGUUAGUGUGGCUGUUGAGAGUUCCGGGCAACUGAGAUUCGAUUCAGUCACCGGUCUAGCAGGGCUGAUCCUCGAGUUCUCUAGGGAAUGAAGAGGCGCAAGCCCCAGGCCCGCUCGUAGUGCGGAAGGUUGACUUCGGUCUUCUUUCUGACAGAGAGGGCACUGCCUAGGCUUUCCGCUAUGACCCGAAAGAUAGUGAACUAUGCUUGGCGAAGACGAAGCCCCAGGAAACUGUGGUGGAAGUCUGUAGCCGUUGUGACGUGCAAAUCCAUGGCGUCAGCUGAGCAUAGGGGCGAAAGACCAAUCGAACUAUCUAGUAGCUGGUUCCACUCGAAGUUUCUCUCAGGAUAGCUUGCGUGACAGUAGCGCUGUAGUCUGAGCUCUCGUACACGAAAGCGUGCGGGUAGUUCGUCCCUACAGGCUGUGGUUGUUGAGAGUUGACGUAGCAAGAGAACUCGUUAUCUCACUCCCUUGUCGCCAGGGUAGCGUAUCACUUGACCGUGUGCAGUUACGUCUGGUAAAGAGAAUGAGUAGAGUUAGCUCGUUGCUCUUAUAGCAGCGGCAGCGGGGCGUCCUACGCCUCGCACUAUUAUCAAACUUUAAAUGGGCGAGGUACUCGGCAUUGACUUAACUGAUUGAUGCCGGGGCGAAACACGUCUUGGUGUUGUACGCUGAGUCGAAGGUGAAUGCGUGCGCGCAAAGUGGGUCCGUUCUGGUAAGCAGAACUGAUAAUGAGGGAUGAACCUAACGCAUGUGCUAAGGGGUCAAAGAGACAGCUAUUUCUCGAAACCAUUGGAAAGGUGUUGCUUGCUGAAGACAGCAGGACGGUGGUCAUGGAAGUCGAUACCCGCUAAGGAGUGUGUAAUUACUCAUCCUGCCGAAGCGAGUAACCCUGAAAAUGGAUGACUCUAUAGCUCUCUCCCGAUGCACGGCCGUCAGCAGCACUUAGAGUCACUCUGGUGUCUCCAUGCUCUGACGAGUAGAGUGGUGUGCUGCAAUGCGUUGACGACCUUCGCGUGAGCGUGGUCAGAGCUUGCAGCAGUACAGAUCUUGGUGGUAGUAGCAAGUACUCUGGUGAAUAACCUUGAGCUGUGAGGCUGAUAAGGGUUCCAUGUCAACAGCGUUUGUACAUGGGUAAGUCGCUCCUAAGCCCCCAUUAUUCUUUAGUGGUGAUUGCGAAUGCUCCUGAGUGAAGAGACGUCAUGUGCUUCGGUACAGCGGGAUGACGUGUGGUUGUCUUUGUAGUCGAAACCUGAGUUUCAUUAACGCCUCUGCUUUGCGCUUGCGAAAUGUCGUGUCAUGUUUGUAAAAGAAUAUAGACGCGUACAGAGUAGUAGCUUAGCUCUUGCGCGUGAAGCUCUAAUCCCUUCUGCUCAGAUGUCUACGUGUUGUUAUACAUGUCCCGUACGACGUAUUGCUCUGGCGUCGCUUGGCGAAAGGGAACUGCGGACUCAGUUCGUAGACCACACCUGGUACCCUGAGACGGUUCACCGUAUCACGGACCUAGCAAUAGUUGCCAGGCCAGUCGUUGUCAUAAGUAGCUCGGCGGGGAGAUGUCUUCUCUCUUUGAUAAAGCGUGAUUACCCUGAAAACACCUCGAGUGGCGGAAGGGUAAUGCUUUGCUUAGCAGAGUACUCUACUCCCCCGAGUAGUCCGACGCUAUUUGUGAUCCGUGAAAAGGUGGUCGAGGGGUAAGCAGGACUCUUGCAUUUAUUUGCCUGAGUCUGACACUUUUACUCGAGUGUUAGCCACCCCGUGUGACGUACCCAUAUCCGCAUCCGUCUCAAA
rnacentral:rRNA from 1 species